CAAAGUUGGUAGAAGAAGAGGAACGCGAGCGCUUCUUCCUCUCCAAUGCGCAAGCGCGGACUUAUAGCCUGCUUAGUAUUCAUACAGAAGCAAUUGGCUUCGUUAUUGUCCGCGCUUUUUAUUUUGCUUCCUGUCUUCUUCUUUGAAAACUGCUGCAAUGAACGAGAGUGUUGUUAAAAAGACGCAAGAGGCGCUCGGAAAAGUGAUAAAGAAACCACCGCUGACAGAAAAACUGCUCAGCAAACCACCGUUUCGAUACUUGCACGACAUCUUCAAUGAGAUCAUCAGAACCACCGGUUUCAUGAAAGGCCUGUACAAAGACAGUGAAUUGAAGUCCGAUAAUGUCAAGGACAAGGAGACUAAGAUAGCCUUCCUUCAGAAAGCCAUCGAUGUUGUGAUACUCGUCAGCGGGGAGUCCCUGGCAGCAAAGCCGGCGCGCAUCGUGGCCGGCCACGAGCCCGAGAAGACCAAUGAGCUGCUGCAGGCUAUUGCCAAGUGCUGUCUCAACAAGCUGUCCAGUGAGGAGGCGGUGAAACGAAUACUUUCCGGAGAGAAGGUGGACUCGAAAAUCAAGGCCCCGACCAAGUCCCAAGACAAAGAAAAUCGAGAAGGGCGUGAGCAUCGACCAGUGGAAAGACAGGAGGAGAAGAGGAUCGAGCGCAGCGGGAGCAGAGAAGACAAGGACCCGGACCAGCGCAGAGAGCGGGUAAGGCAGCAUCGAGAUGGCGAGCGAGACCACCGCCACGACAGGGAGCGCUCGGGCAAGAACCAGCGGCGCGAGCAGGACCGCGCCAAAGACGCCGAGCGAGACAAGAGCCGCGAACGAGACAAAGACAAAGGCAGCGCGAAAGACCGAGACAAGGAGAAGGACAAAGAGCACGAAAGAGAUCGAGACAAGAGUCGGGACAGAGACAGAAUGAGAGAGAGAGAAUCCGUCCGAAGGGACACCGAAAGGAGCAGGGACAAACGGCGAGAGCGCGACAAAGAGGCAGAAAGACGCAAAGACGGCGAAGACAAGAACAGAAGUCAAGAGAGAGAAAUUCACAGCAAGGAUAGAAUAUCCGACGGACAACAAAAACCCACAGAGGACGAGCCCAGAAAAACAGCCAAACCGGUGCCAUCUGAACCAGAACCAGCUGCUGAGCCUGCCGCGAAAGUUGACGACGAGUCUGAUAGUCCAGCCAGAAUCCCGCGGCCGUCUUCUGCCAAAGGGCAAAGGAGGAAACCUCGACUCGCAGGACAAGAUGAAUCUGACAGCGAGGGCAACGCCGAUCCCCCCAAGGAAAGCGGAGAUGCCGCGGGUGCCUCGUUUCCACCCGAAACGCCCUCCAGCAAUAAACGAAUGGCACGGCCCAGCAGUGCUCGUGCAGCCCCCCCUCGAGUCAAGAAACAGGAGAGCCUCAAUGACGGCGUCCCAGCUGAGAGACUUUCAAGUGCCAAGUCGUCGGUCAUCAGAGAGGGGAAGAAGCGGUCUGAUGAUGAGGAUGAGGAAGACGAGCAGUUUCUCGUGGCGGAGGCGGCCCCUGAACCUGCAGAAGCUCAGGAGAAGGAAUAUGCGCAAGACCUCACCGGUGAUGAAAAACACGGUGGUCUCGUAAAAAAGAUCCUUGAGACCAAAAAAGACUUCGAACCGCCACCAUCCUCCACGAAAUCUAAAGAGAAGCCGGUGUCGGGGGAAGCCUUGAAGAAAGAGCAGGACCUGGUCACGCGGGAGGUGGAGCGUCUGCGCGCCUCCAUCCAGUCGGUGUGUCAGAGCGCGCUGCCUUUGGGCAAGAUCAUGGACUACGUGCAGGAGGACAUCGACGCCAUGCAGGCCGAGCUGCAGAGCUGGCGCAAGGAAAACAAGGAGCACGCGCAGGCUUUGCUGCAGGAGCAGAAAGCCACAGACUGGGCGUUAGAACCUCUUAAGGCUGAACUUUAUGAACUGGACCAAAUGAUCAAGGAUUACCAGGACAAAAUUUGUGCGGUGAGGUCCAAUAUACUGAGAAAUGAAGAGAAGAUUCAGAAGAAGUUGACCGGAAUCAUCUCCUCUUCGACCUGAAGUGAGAACUCUUUCACCGUCUUUGAAAAACUACAGAGGAAAAUGUCAUGGAACACACAACCGACCCCAUCGCGGUUUUGGAGGUUUUGCGCCAUUCUCUUGUGAAGUGGAAAAGCCACAAAUAGUUGAUGAAUACUCAAUUGCAAUUCACACAGACAAUAUCUGUCAUCGUAGUACCACCACUGACCUGUGAGAGGCAGCGUGGUGCUACAGGGGCAUCCACGUUGCCGGAAAAUACACAAGAAGAAAAAAAAGUUGCAGGCGAAGAAAUAGCGUUGUGCUGGGAAGGGUUAGCAUCUUCACACAACGAAAUAUUGCAAGAUUUCAUUGCCCGCUUCACUCUUCUCAUAUUCUGGUGCCUUUGAGUGACAAAAAUCUUAAUCUUCAGGUUUGAAAGUCAGAUUUACCACAUGCGCACAAGUCACGGAUAUUCCAAAAUCAGCAAUAAUGAUUUUUUUUUUCCCGUUUUUGAGAGUUUCUUUGCUAUUUAUCAGAUCUUUAUGAAUGUAUCCACUUGGAUGGGCAACUCUGACUUGCUCCCUUUGAGAUCCAAAUAGCUCACCUGGCAGGGAUCUUUUCCUAAAUGUGCUCUCACAUAUAUUCGUCAUGUAAAAAGCUAUCAAAACAAUUUCAUCGUCUCUUCCAAAUAGGCUCUCACUUCACGCCUUUUCCUCGGCGAUAUUUCACAUUGCGUUCAUGUCAUGUUUUUGCGGGUCCACUUUUCAGGCACAGCUGCACUUUGAGGUGUGUAAAUAGUGAACGCGGUGUUUUGAAGGUGUGUUCAUGUUUUUAAAAUAACCCAGUGUUGUGUUGGAGUCCAUAUUAAAACAAGAGUGAAAUGUGCUUGUGUGUAAAUAGUGAACGCAGUGUUUUGAAGGCGUGUUCAUGUUUUUAAAAUAACCCAGCGUUGGAGUCCAUAUUAAAACAAGAGUGAAAUGUGCUUUUAGGGAAAGUCGGCGUCAUCGUGGUGAGAGUGUGGUAGAGGAUCGAUAACUGAUGAAAAAUGAACUAUGGGAAAAAAAAUAAACUUAAAAGCUAUCUUACAUACCGAAUAUAUAUGAAUGCUCAAAUACUGUAGCAUUGAUACCCGGCGUUGAAUGGCGCGUGCGCGUUCAAGUGUUUUCUAACCCCCCCCCCCCUUCAAAAUAUGUCGUUUUUAUUUUCAUAAUUUAGUCUUUAUUCUCAUAUUGUCAACACAGCGCUGAUUCAUAACUUUGAAUACUCACUUCUCUUACGUCAUAAAUUAUAUGUACAUAAAGUUGCUGGUAGAAACAACAGCGAGUCUAUCGCGAAGAAAUUCGGCUGUAUAUUAUGUACAUGUGGAGAUUGUAUUUUAGCUUGUUUGUUUGUUUUUGUAGUGAAGUACAACAAUAAAUGGCUACA